rnacentral:rRNA from 1 species
UACAGAGGGUGCGAGCGUUAAUCGGAAUUACUGGGCGUAAAGCGCGCGUAGACGGUAGCGUAAGUCAGAUGUGAAAGCCCCGGGCUCAACCUGGGAACUGCAUUUGAGACUGCUCUGCUCGGGUGCGGAAGAGGGAAGCGGAAUUUCCGGUGUAGCGGUGAAAUGCGUAGAUAUUCGCAAGAACACCAGUGGCGAAGGCGGCUCACUGGCCCGAUACUGACGCUGAGGCACGAAAGCGUGGGGAGCAAACAGG